rnacentral:rRNA from 1 species
UACAGAGGGUGCGAGCGUUGUCCGGAAUUAUUGGGCGUAAAGAGCUCGUAGGCGGUUUGUUGCGUCGGCUGUGAAAUCCCGAGGCUCAACCUCGGGUCUGCAGUCGAUACGAGCAAACUAGAGUGUUUGCAGGGGAGACUGGAAUUCCUGGUGUAGCGGUGGAAAUGCGCAGAUAUCAGGAGGAACACCGGUGGCGAAGGCGGGUCUCUGGGCAACAACUGACGCUGGAGGAGCGAAAGCCGUGGGGAGCGA